rnacentral:rRNA from 1 species
CAUCAUGCCGCGUGCGUGAAGAAGGCCUUCGGGUUGUAAAGCGCUUUUGUCGGGGAGGAAAUCCUAUAUCUAAUAAAUGCUGGGGAUGACAGUACCCGAAGAAUAAGGACCGGCUAACUACGUGCCAGCAGCCGCGGUAAUACGUAGGGUCCAAGCGUUAAUCGGAAUUACUGGGCGUAAAGCGUCCGCAGGUGGCUUGAUAAGAUAGACGUGAAAUCCCUGGGCUCAACCUAGGAAUUGCGUUUAUGACUGUCUCGCUAGAGUACGGGAGAGGGGGGUGGAAUUCCACGUGUAGCAGUGAAAUGCGUAGAGAUGUGGAGGAACACCGAUGGCGAAGGCAACCCCCUGGCCUGAUACUGACACUCAUGGACGAAAGCGUGGGGAGCAAACAGGAUUAGAUACCCUGGUAGUCCACGCCCUAAACGAUGUCUACUAGUUGUUGGGCUUUUCGGAGCUUAGUAACGCAGCUAACGCGUGAAGUAGACCGCCUGGGGAGUACGGUCGCAAGACUAAAACUCACAGGAAUUGACGGGGGCCCGCACAAGCGGUGGAUGAUGUGGAUUAAUUCGAUGCAACGCGAAAAACCUUACCUGGUCUUGACAUGUACGGAAGUCCGUAGAGAUAUGGAUGUGCCUUCGGGAACCGUAACACAGGUGCUGCAUGGCUGUCGUCAGCUCGUGUCGUGAGAC